UACAGAGGUGGCAAGCGUUGUUCGGAAUUACUGGGCGUAAAGGGCUCGUAGGCGGCCAACUAAGUCGGACGUGAAAUCCCUCAGCUUAACUGGGGAACUGCGUCCGAUACUGGAUGGCUUGGAUUUGGGAGAGGGAUGCGGAAUUCCAGGUGUAGCGGUGAAAUGCGUAGAUAUCUGGAGGAACACCGGUGGCGAAGGCGGCAUCCUGGACCAAUAUUGACGCUGAGGAGCGAAAGCUAGGGGAGCAAACAGG
rnacentral:rRNA from 1 species